rnacentral:rRNA from 1 species
UACGUAGGUCCCGAGCGUUGUCCGGAUUUAUUGGGCGUAAAGCGAGCGCAGGUGGUUUAUUCAGUCUGGUGUAAAAGGCAGUGGCUCAACCAUUGUAUGCAUUGGAAACUGGUAGACUUGAGUGCAGGAGAGGAGAGUGGAAUUCCAUGUGUAGCGGUGAAAUGCGUAGAUAUAUGGAGGAACACCGGUGGCGAAAGCGGCUCUCUGGCCUGUAACUGACACUGAGGCUCGAAAGCGUGGGGAGCAAACAGG